UAUCAUGCAAGUAGAACGCUGAAGAGAGGAGCUUGCUCUUCUUGGAUGAGUUGCGAACGGGUGAGUAACGCGUAGGUAACCUGCCUUGUAGCGGGGGAUAACUAUUGGAAACGAUAGCUAAUACCGCAUAACAAUGGAUGACACAUGUCAUUUAUUUGAAAGGGGCAAUUGCUCCACUACAAGAUGGACCUGCGUUGUAUUAGCUAGUAGGUGAGGUAACGGCUCACCUAGGCGACGAUACAUAGCCGACCUGAGAGGGUGAUCGGCCACACUGGGACUGAGACACGGCCCAGACUCCUACGGGAGGCAGCAGUAGGGAAUCUUCGGCAAUGGGGGCAACCCUGACCGAGCAACGCCGCGUGAGUGAAGAAGGUUUUCGGAUCGUAAAGCUCUGUUGUAAGUCAAGAACGAGUGUGAGAGUGGAAAAUUCACACUGUGACGGUAGCUUACCAGAAAGGGACGGCUAACUACGUGCCAGCAGCCGCGGUAAUACGUAGGUCCCGAGCGUUGUCCGGAUUUAUUGGGCGUAAAGCGAGCGCAGGCGGUUUGAUAAGUCUGAAGUUAAAGGCUGUGGCUCAACCAUAGUUCGCUUUGGAAACUGUCAAACUUGAGUGCAGAAGGGGAGAGUGGAAUUCCAUGUGUAGCGGUGAAAUGCGUAGAUAUAUGGAGGAACACCGGUGGCGAAAGCGGCUCUCUGGUCUGUAACUGACGCUGAGGCUCGAAAGCGUGGGGAGCGAACAGGAUUAGAUACCCUGGUAGUCCACGCCGUAAACGAUGAGUGCUAGGUGUUGGAUCCUUUCCGGGAUUCAGUGCCGCAGCUAACGCAUUAAGCACUCCGCCUGGGGAGUACGACCGCAAGGUUGAAACUCAAAGGAAUUGACGGGGGCCCGCACAAGCGGUGGAGCAUGUGGUUUAAUUCGAAGCAACGCGAAA
rnacentral:rRNA from 1 species